UACGUAGGGUGCAAGCGUUAAUCGGAAUUACUGGGCGUAAAGCGUGCGCAGGCGGUGAUGUAAGACAGAUGUGAAAUCCCCGGGCUCAACCUGGGAACUGCAUUUGUGACUGCAUCGCUGGAGUGCGGCAGAGGGGGAUGGAAUUCCGCGUGUAGCAGUGAAAUGCGUAGAGAUCCGGAGGAACACCGACGGCGAAGGCAGCGCCCUGGACGAGACCUGACGCUCAGGCACGAAAGCUGGGGGAGCAAACAGG
rnacentral:rRNA from 1 species